UCUGCUGAAUCUGCUGGCAUUAAUUAGUCCUGUCAUACAAUUCAUAGUAACCUAUCAGCAAUAAGCUUUGAUUUGUAUAUUGAACUAAAAAUGUUCAAAUCAAGUAUAUGAUUGGUCCCUACAGGUUCCAAGAGAAGGGCAAGCUUUUUCCAUGUUACAGCUCACAGCAAUACGUUUACAGCUUUGGAGGUUCUGUUAGACUCAAAUAGGGUUAUAUAGACCUAUGAUUACGCAUGGAAACACAUGAAAUGCAUGAUGUGAAAUAAAGGUUCUUUUUUUUUAUCUUACACCACGUCCGAGGUGUUCCUGGAGUGCGUAUCCAAAGUGGAAGUGUUUUUUCCAAGGUACAGGUUCGUUGUGCAGCACCCGGACCUCCAACGGAGAGCAGAAGAAAUACCGGAUAAAGCCUAAAUAAAUGACACAAGAAAAUAAUACCAACAGGACUGACACUCAUGCAAGUUCCACGUUGUAGCUCCCACCCUUUCCAGCUACAGUCAGGUGAUUCCGGUGGUGGCC